UCCGUGCCAGCAGCCGCGGUAAUACGGAGGGUGCGAGCGUUAAUCGGAAUUACUGGGCGUAAAGCGCAUGCAGGUGGUUUGUUAAGUCAGAUGUGAAAGCCCCGGGGCUCAACCUCGGAAUUGCAUUUGAAACUGGCAGACUAGAGUACUGUAGAGGGGGUAGAAUUUCAGGUGUAGCGGUGAAAUGCGUAGAGAUCUGAAGGAAUACCGGUGGCGAAGGCGGCCCCCUGGACAGAUACUGACACUCAGAUGCGAAAGCGUGGGGAGCAAACAGGAUUAGAUACCCUGGUAG
rnacentral:rRNA from 1 species